GUGAGGAAUAUUGCGCAAUGGACGAAAGUCUGACGCAGCCAUGCCGCGUGAAGGAUUGACGGCCCUAUGGGUUGUAAACUUCUUUUGUAUAGGAAUAAACCCUCGUUCGUGAACGAGGCUGAAGGUACUAUAAGAAUAAGCACCGGCUAACUCCGUGCCAGCAGCCGCGGUAAUACGGAGGGUGCUAGCGUUAUCCGGAGCUAUUGGGUUCAGAGGUUCUGUAGGCGGAUCGUUAAGUCAGUGGUGAAAUCCUACCGCUCAACGGUAGAACUGCCAUUGAUACUGGCGAUCUGGAGUAUGUAUGAAGUGGGCGGAAUGUGUGGUGUAGCGGUGAAAUGCUUAGAUAUCACACAGAACACCGAUUGGGAAGGCAGCUGACUAAUACACAACUGACGCUGAGGGACGAAAGUGUGGGGAUCAAACAGGAUUAGAUACCCGUGUAGUCC
rnacentral:rRNA from 1 species